rnacentral:antisense_RNA from 1 species
CUUUCCGUGCAUAAGAAGCCGAAUGAGGAAGACACUUAAAGAUGAAGUGCUUAAUUCAAGGUCACAGAAUGUCGGGGAUGGACCUCCAGAUUUCCUUACUGGAAAACAAGCUCAGGGCUCCCACUGAUUGUACAUUAUGGUGAGACGUGGUCUUGUAACACAGUGGUUAAGAAUGUGACUUUGGAGCCAGCCUGCUAGGGGCUGAAUUCUGACUCAGCCAUUUAUUAACUGUGUGACCUUAGAUGGAGUCUCACUCUGUAGCCCAAGCUGGAGUGGCGUGAUCUCGACUCACUGCAACCUCCGCCUCCUGGGCUCAAGUGAUUCUCGUGCCUCAGCCUCCUGAGUAGCUGGGACUACAGGUCAUAGAAUUUUCCACACUCCUUGACGGAGGUUCUUAACCCUUAUCCAUCAGCAUUCUCAGACAGCACCUCCGGUUAGGGACAGUAUCUGACCGUCCGACAUCCCUGCAGCCCCCAUGCUGUCACACAGACUCAGCCUCAGGUAGAUGGUUUCCGUAGAUGGUGGCUUUCUUUGGACCCUUGAUAUCAACCAGUUACUAUUUGGGGACCAGAUGUGCAGAGGUAAUGAAUACCAGGGAAUC